CUGUUGUCAGUGCUGAUCAUGUUACACCCUGGUUCUGCAAGUACUUCCAAAUGGACCAUAAACAAAGUAGAAAGAAACAGAGAGUGAGAUAGAAGGAAGGUCAAGAGUCAUCAAAUCAUAGGCUUCUGGAAGCGUCAAAGUCAUCUUGUCCAAACAUCAUGCAAAGAGCCAUGUGAGUGAGCUUGGGAGCGAUUCCUCCCCAAGUUGGUCCUGAGAUGACUGCAGCCCUCACAACUUCGCUACAGCCUCUUGAAAGACCUUGGGACAGAGGAACUCAGCUAAUUGUGCCCAGAUUCUGAUCUACAGAAACUAUGAGAUAAUAAAUGGUUGUUCUAUUCAGUGGUCAUUUGGUACCCAGCAAUAGGUAACUGAUAACAUAUUUUGGUACCUGGAAGUAGAGUGUUGCCAUAAAAGAAUACCUAAAACUGUAGAAGUGGCUUUGUAUUGAGGCGGAGGGCAGAGACUGAAAUAAUCUUGUGGAGCUUGUUAGAGAAAGCCUAAAUUGCCUGCAAGUGGCUGUUAGUAGAAAUCUGGACUUUGAGGAUAUUACCAGUGAGAGCUCAAAAAGAAGUGAACAAAAUGUUACUGGAAACAGAUAAAAGGAGAAUCUUGAUAUGUAGUGGCAGAACAUUUAGUAACACUAUCACGUGCAGUCUUUCAAACUAGAAAAUGUGUCUAAUUGACCAUAAGACAUAGCUAAGGAGAUUUCCAAGCAAAGUGUUGAAGGUGCUGCCUGGUUUCUUCUUUCUGUCUAUUGUAAAAUGCGAAAGGGCAAGACAUUGAGAAAAGGGUUGUUUAACAAAAGGAGCCAGAACUUGAUGGUUUUGAAAAUUCCCUGCCUCUCCAACCGGCAAGUGAUGUUAAAAUCAAGAAAUGUCUUCUGAGAAAACAUCAAUUCCAUGGCACUGCUAAAAAAGCAUGGUGUACAGAUGAAUCCGAGAGUUACUAUCACAUCUUUGGUCAAGCCCUCAGAAAGAUCAAUGGCGGUACCUCAGAGGAGUAUUCAGUCACACAAAAGAUUUUUUGAAGGGAAGCUUAAGGGUUUAUAUCUGAGAGAUUUAUCAGUGCUGUUUUUAUCUAAUUUGGUAAACUCCAACGGCAUUCACAGAAGGCCCAUAAAGUGAUAGUACAAAGGGAAAACAGGUUGUUGGACUUCCCUAGGUCCCCACAAUUCUACUAGCAGUAAGCAGCUUGAGAAAACUACUCAGCUGAAAACAGAUGUUACCCUUCACGAAAAAGGAACGACUUGGGGAAGAACCAAGAGCCCAGUUAGAGAGGCAGAGAACCAAUUAGAAUUAUUCUCUGGCUUUGGGAACCAAUGAGGGAAAUUCUAACAUCUACCUGGCUGGAUUUCAGAAAUGCUAUGAACUGCUGAUUUACGUUUGGUUUCCUUUUACCCUAUUCCUGUCGCACCAUGGUAUAUCGGGUAUGUGGGGAGGGGAUGGGACCAGAUACCUUGCCUCUUCAGUCUCAAAAGUCUACAGAAGAAGAGGAAUUGUAUAAAAUAAGCUCAACUUAAGGAAUUAUACCUAAGGAGCUUCGUUCAUGUCUGGAUUUGAUUUAGAUGAGCAACUGGAUUUUAGAUGAUGAUUUAGUGAGACCUUGAGAAUGGGUGAAUGUAAGUUUCAUGUGGGAAGGAUGAGACUCAUUGAGGGCUAGAAGGUAAACUAUGGUAACCCAUCUCUAAGAUGGCCCUAAAUCUUCCUUGCCUCUGGAUUUCUGUAUAACAGAACUAUGAG
rnacentral:lncRNA from 1 species